rnacentral:rRNA from 1 species
AUGCACCUUAUGAUGCCAUCAUUGAUCAAAUUAGAAGAAAUAAAAAGAGAAUUAUUUUUAUUCCAACUCGUGUCGGAUGUAACGACAUUGCCAAAGCGCCGGUACUGCAUCCGACUAUUUCCAUUUGUCCACAUCAGGUUCUUAACCCUGCUAUCACUAUCAGCAAGAACUCUGUACGUGAAGUCCGGGUCACUUGCAACAAUGUCAGCAAACACUUUCAGCGUGUUCCUAACACCAUCAUCUGCUAUUCUCUGUCUCUGGCUUCCCCUAUUUUGGAAGAAAAUAGACAUGCUUGUCAGUGACAAUUUUCAGUUUUUCUCUAUUUUUAUUUACUCGAGCAAGCAUGAUCUAACAGCGCACCGAACAAACGCAGACAAUCUCCUGCAUCGAUUUGAUCCUCUUCGCGGUCAAUCAGCUUUUCCCACACCUUAUGCCAAAACCAAUCUCCCAUGA